rnacentral:rRNA from 1 species
GACGGAGGAUGCAAGCGUUAUCCGGAAUGAUUGGGCGUAAAGCGUCCGCAGGUGGCCGUUCAAGUCUGCUGUCAAAGCCCGGGGCUUAACUUCGGAAAGGCAGUGGAAACUGAACAGCUAGAGUAUGGUAGGGGCAGAGGGAAUUCCUGGUGUAGCGGUGAAAUGCGUAGAGAUCAGGAAGAACAUCGGUGGCGAAGGCGCUCCGCUGGACCAGAACUGACACUCAGGGACGAAAGCGAGGGGAGCGAAUGGG